rnacentral:rRNA from 1 species
UACGUAGGGAGCAAGCGUUGUCCGGAAUCAUUGGGCGUAAAGCGCGCGCAGGCGGUCUUCCAAGUCAGUGGUGAAAGCCCGGAGCUCAACUCCGGAACUGCCAUUGAAACUGUUAGACUUGAGGAUGAGAGAGGUGAGUGGAAUUCCCAGUGUAGAGGUGAAAUUCGUAGAUAUUGGGAAGAACACCGGUGGCGAAGGCGGCUCACUGGCUCAUUACUGACGCUCAGGCGCGAUAGCGUGGGGAUCAAACAGG